rnacentral:lncRNA from 1 species
GUCCCCUGACCUAAACGCGGUGGGGGAUCCAAAGCGCACCUGAAACAGAUCGACCCCCUUCCCCGCAGCGGUAGGGACAGGAAGCGGGAGCCUCGGGCGGCGUUAACAAGCGGAACGGGCGGAGGCGUGUCCAUCGACAGCGAUUUCAUUAGCGGCGCUGCUGGGCUGCGCUGGACGGGGAGGGGGCGGCGAGGAAGCGGGUCUGAGCCGAGGCUGAUUCAUUCACGUGUUGGGAGGGGAAGUGGGGCGGGGGGAGAAGCGAGGCCCAGAACUAGGGGCUCUCCCAGGAGGGAGCGGGGCGGGUGGAGUGUGAGCUGGAGGGGAACGCAGCCGCGCAACGAGCAGCCGCCCUGGCUAUAAAUCCAGGGGGUGAAGCCAAACGGAUCCAAGCCUUAGGACAGUCCUGCGCGCAGCCACCCAAGGGACUGAGGCUGCUGCCGCCUCCGCCGCCUUCUCGCAGCAGCAGCAAUAGUAGCUGCAACACACCCAGGAAGGUGAGACGCGCGUGGCUUCCCCAGGGUGGAGGUUCGUGGAUGCCGAGCUGCCCAGCCCGGCCGAGAGACAGAGAAGAGACCGAGAGAGAAGAGAGGGAGAAAUCCGCAGUUGCACAGCCGCUUCCAGCGCAUCCUGCCAAGCCUUGCAAGUUUGUCCUCUCGCCUUAUGAGCCUGGAAUUAAUUUUCCAAAUAGC